rnacentral:lncRNA from 1 species
AUGCAAUAAGGCUUUAAACCCCUAGGUGGCCCUAGUGGACGAGUUUUGUCUCGUGAGGGUUUCCAGCUCAGAUACCCACAAACUGCUGUCUAAAGAAUUUAUUUUAUUGUUUUAUAAAAUCUAAUUUCAAAUGCAUUAAUGCCAAAAAUUUCAAAAGCACACAAAGUUUUAAUUACUAAGUCAGCCCAAAUUCUAGGUCAGUAUGCAACUUAAGUUGA